rnacentral:lncRNA from 1 species
GGUUUAAAAAAAGUCUCGGGGUUCCUGUCGUGGCGCAUGGGUUGAGGAUCUGGCGUUGCUGUGAGCUGGGGUGUAGGUCGCAGGCGCGGCUCGGAUCCCACGUGGCUGAGGCUGUGGCGCAGGCCGGCGGCUCUAGCUGGGACUCUUCAUAUGCCGCGGGUGCGGCCCUAAAAAGACAAAAGACAAAACAAACUCAAGUGGGUUGGUGAAUUUACCAAUUUGUUGCAUUUGUUAGGAUGGCCGUGCCCUUUCCUCCUUUCAUAUAGUUUGCUGCGAUAAAUCACAGUCAGAUUUUGAAUAGGCGCCACCCCUGCAUUGUUGGUGUAAACCUUACUUGAUAUUUUCAAUGUAUUUUACCCCCAGCUUAGCAGUAUUUGGUUUAGCCUUCUGGUGUUUAUGCACGAGACUGGCUUUUAUUUCUCCUGUGCGGCAUUUCUCUAUUUCAUGGUCUCCUUGUCCCAAACCACGUGUACCCAGCAGCCUGUGCUCUGCGUGUUCCGGUCUGGGGAGGAGGAUGGAGACGUGAGCGGAGGGGACCUGGGCCUGUCUUCUCAGGGCCGAGGAGCGGGGGUCUUAGACACUGCGCGGUCCCCUGCAGGGGUGCAGCCCGGGCAGUGUCGGGACUCUGGGAGAGGCGCCAAUGGGCUGCCCUCCCGGUCUUCUCACCAGACGCCUCCCAGCUGGGCCCCAAAGGGCUCUUGGGUAACGUCCUCGCGAUCUCAGGUCAGAGCCUUUGCUGUGGCCUGGAGGUUUGACUCUGCCUGCGGCCGCAGAGGGGGGGGGGCAGGGGUCUGAGCACCAGGGGGUGUGUGAGUUGGGGGGAGGCUGCUGGGCGGGGCUUUGCAGGCUUGCUUUCUGUGCGCCUGCUCUCAGGGCUGGAGGAAGGCAGGCACAUGGAGCACCCGAGCACGAACCCCCUGCUCGAGGCCGGGUCAGGGCUGCCUCGGAUGUCCGCCUCGGUGCCCCUGAACCAAAUCGCUCCUUGCUUCACCCGAGAGCGUUUGCUUUCCCAACCCUGAGCUGCGGGACCGCGCUUGUGGGUGCUCACAAGGCACUGGAGCCCAGCUGCUCAGGAUGCCGGGGUCUCCCCGGCUGCAGGAGGGUGCCUGUGAGGGUGAGCGAGUGUGCGUAGAGAUGUGCAAGGGAGCGCACGCGAGCGUGAGUGCCCGCGUGCCGUAUGAGUGCGUGUGCACGCACAAGUGAGUGUGCACGCUUGUGAGCGUGCGUGUAGGAGUGCGCACGCGUGUACAUGUGUGCGUGGGCAGGGGCGGGCGGAGGCCAGCGGCCCCUCCCCUCCCCCCUCGCUCCCGCCCCGCCCUCCAGCCCCUGCAGUCCUGGGCCCGCCCUGCUUCCCCGCUUCCCAGCUUCCCAGCCCUUCUGGCUCUUUGUGUUUGCAAAGGCUCGCCUCUCCCCGCCGCUCUCCGAGCUGAAAUCCUCUGUCUUCAAGAUGCAGAUGAAAUGCCUUGUUCUCCCUGACGGGUCCCAGCCGGGGAUAAACAUUUCUUCCUGUUCAGACUUAGCCUGUCUGCCUUGAAUUAUACAUGUGUGCCGCGGAGGGCUCCUUCAGGAGAGGGAUUAUGACUUAUUUAUCUUCGUGUUUCCCCUCCCCCCUCCCCCCACCACCGAGGGCAGUGCCUGGCAAGCCGAAGGUGCUCGAUGAUUGUUUAUUAAAGUGGAUAUUAACUGCUCCUCCUUAUUCGUGUUCAGUGAGACUGUUCAGUUCCGGGAUAAGCGAUGGAAUCUUUGGAGGGAAUGGGAGUCUGCCGCUUACACCCUGAGGCUAAAGUCAUCCGACCCCUUUCAUCGCGUCUCCUUCCCCACCUGCAUCUGGCGUCGCCUCACUCCGCCUCCACGGUGGCUGCGCGGGCGCGGCCCCGGCGCGGUCGGUCCCAGUCCGCGGGCUCGAUGCGCGCACCCGGGGCCGGGCACAGAUGCGCCGGGCUUUUGUGUGAAGCUUCAGCCGCGCUCCCAGGUCGGGGUGGUGAAAUGCUUUUAGCUGCAUUCUCAUGCCUGUCACACCUUCCAGCAGAAUUAGCGCAGGGCUCGAGACGUGAUUCCUAAACCCCACCAUGCCUUGAAUUAUCCCAAGGGGCGCUGGAAGUUUUCAAAACAAAGUUAAUUGCAAUUCCUGGUAAUCAUGCACAUAGUUAAUGCCACACCACACUGAGCCUAAGAUGAACGCUACAAAAAUCGAAGUGUCAGAACUCUGGGAAGAUUGAGAUGCAGAGCGGUGGAAUUAGUCUCUUCUGAAAAAAGAAAAAACCCCUCAGUGGUCUGACUGGAGGCUCCUGAGAGUCGGAUAAGGCCACGUGUGGUGGAGAGGAAGCAGGGCUCUUGGAGCCUCGGGCACAGCGGACACCUUGGCACAGUCCCUCUGACGGAGCUCGGGUUGGCUGGUGUGGAACCCCAGGUUUUCCAUGUGAUGUUGUGACGACUGUGUUCGGUCAUAUUGACACUUAUUUGGCACCUAUGGUAUGCAGAGCUUCCGGAAAUACUGAUCAUGUGGCCUGUUGAUAUGACUUCUAAGUGUGUGGAAGCAGCUUCCUUUUCUGCAGCAUCGCCUGCCCUUGGCCUCCCGGCACCUGCAGCCCGCCUGCCCCAGAAGCCGCUUUCUAAUGUCACAGCCCCGUCGUUUCCCUCUAAGUGCUUCGUGGUCUUUUUGGCUCCUGGUGGCAGCUCUCUGGGUGCUGUUGUCUGGGUGCUGUCGGUGAGGGACCAACCGUUCCGUGGGGUCACAGGCUCACGUGACGUGCUCUGCCACUUUGGGCGGCCCCACUUUGCCCCCAGCCUCUAACCGAGCGGGGGCGUCCCCGCCUCCUGCGGCUCCAGGAACGGCUCUCCUACGCUGCGGGACCGCGUCCUUCUGCUCUGCCCGCUCUCGGGUCCCAGCCAUCCAUGUGCCUGGACCCAUCCUGCCGCCCGGCACCGUCAGACCUGGCCUUAGAUUUAUCAUCACCUGUCGUCUGCCUGCUGUUCUAGGUUGUGCGUUCUUUGCUCAAGGUCAGGUGACCGUCUGAGCCACUGUCCAGUUGGGACUCAGGGGAGGGAACGGAGCACUGCUGACUGCAGAGCAACGACGGGCCCGGCCAAGUCACGGGACGCCCUAUUUAAGGGAAAGGGCUUGUCCAGCUCGUCUGUUUUUUCCACGGUGCCUAGACGGCAGCUUGGAAUAUUGGGGGCGCUGAGUUUGCUGCACUUGUUGAACGUGUGAAAGAGGGGACGUGUUGCCAGGACAGGGAGGCUGCGUUUUUACCGUCCAUCCCCAGGGAGCCGCACUGCCAGCCCCGCAGGGGCGAGAUGGCAUUGCUGCCGCUGUUGCAACAGUCAGAGAAACGUGAGAUGUCCGAGCCCCACAGAACGUGGCAUCGUCUGUCACACGGGACGUCUGUCCCAGUGCCUGGGACCACGGGGGUUGGAACCCACUGACCUCUCUGUCCCCGGGGCGGCCAGGAGGUGGUCCGAGGGUUGGCACCGGGGUGGGGAGCCGGAGGAGUCUGCCCGCCCAGGAGCCCACUUUCUGAUGAGGAAACACUAGCCCAGACAGAGGAUGAAAAACCUCAGCCCUCCCGGCUUCCAGCUGCCACCGUCCAAGAAGGAGAACUGAGUUGUGGUCUGAGGCACUGGACCGUGCGGAUGGGGCUGACGACGGCAGAUUCUUCGGUUUGGGCAAAUAACGUAAGAGACAUCGAUUAGGAAUCCCUUUUGCCCUUGGCCCGUAAGGAGGACAGAGGAGCUGCUCGGAGAAUGAUGCACACCGUGUAACAGCAUGAGUUAGGACAGCGCGUUUCUGAGUCCGGGAACCCGCGACUGUUUGGGUUUCUCUGAGACUGCGGUGCUUGUGUGUGCGCACCCGCGAGUGUGUGUGCGUGUGCCUGUGUGUAUAUUGCCUUCGUAAGGAGGGGAAAUUAUAACGCACUCCUGUUUGUCUCUACCAUGUGCGGUGUUUGGGUUCUGAGGGACUUCGAUCAGAAUGGCCACACCCUGUACAGGCCUCCUUCGGACUUUGGGUGGCGCGGGCGGACUUUAAAUCCCUCCUUCCAGCUCUGCCAGACGUCACCGCUGGGUCAGGCAGUCAGUGGCACAAAUCCAGCUGACCACCCUGUGCACAGCCUGUGGGCAGGGACUCGGAUGACAAGGAGAACUGCCCUGCGCUGCUCAGGAUUCCGAGGGAGGACCCUCGGCGGGAAGACCUGCGAUGGACACGUGCCGGGGGUUCCAGGCUCUUCCUUCUGAGCGCAGGGUGCCUCUGCCAGGUCAGGGGCACGCGGCAGCUGGGCGAGCCAAGCACCCUGGAGUCCAGAUACUUCCAGCCCCAAGAAUGCUCUCCAGCCGGGUAACAACCUUCUCCAAGUGUCUGGUUAGGGUCCUGUAAUAGGGUUGGGGGGUGAGGGUCAAAGGUAAUGGGUUAUGGCCUCUCUCGCCGGGAGGAUCUCACCAGGAGUCGGAGACGGAAACUGCAUACUCUGUGUUAAACUCUAAAAGCAGCGCAGGGAAGUUCAAGUCAAAGAUAACGGAAGGGAGCCACAUCUUAGGGUUCCCGUCCCCAGAUCCAGUGAAAUAAAUAAAAGUAAAAAAAAAAGUUGCAAAAAUAUUAACUGGCAGCAGGCGGGUGUUCAGCUUCACUCAUGCAUUUAAAGCGGGUAUCCGGGUAAAGGAGUAAAACCCCGCCAGUCCUGUAAGGCAGUGAGGUCCCAAGCCUCACCCUGCCUGCCCCGCCGCCCAGCCACGAACCUGCCCCAGAGCAGUGCAAGGGAGAAGGAUGACUCGAUAAAAUAGAGAGUUUACUGUGUACCCAGUUUGGAAGCUAGCCAGGUGUGGGUGAGUAGGCAGUUUGUUCCUGCACCUGAUUACAGCGGCCCAGAGCCACCGAGGAGUCAGAGGGAGGAAGAGGUAAGUUUCAUGUCACACACUCCGAAUUCUAAGCAGGAUAAAGACAGAUGUACUUAGGAACUUGGUAUAAUAUUACGGACAAAGAGAAUCUUAAAAUCUGUGGGGCACGUGCACCAAAUAACUUACAAAAGGGUAACAGUGAGAAAGACAGCUGUUCCCUCGUCGUCACUGGCAGACUGCUGAAGGGGCCAUGUCUGCAAAGGGCUGAGAACAGCGGAUACAGUCCCCCCUUGGUACCCAGGGGGUUCGUUCCAGGGCCCGCAGAGGUCCCCAGAUCUGAGGGUGCUCCAGUUGCUCUUGUAAACUGGCAGAUGGCAGCUGACCCUCCAUGUCCUGGCUUCUGUCCCUGUGGGUUCAAGCAGCCGCAGGCCCAUCUGAGGUCAGUUGAGUCCAUGCCGCACUGCAGACACGAGUGCCAGCUGCAGCGCGCUUAGCACGCAGUUUAGCAUCCGAAGUGAGAGCGACAGGACAGCAUCUUCAGACACACGAAGGGCCACGGUGAGAGAGCUUCUAAAGGGUGCACCUCAGCCAGAAGAAAACCAAACCCGGUUGGAAGUGUUGGCAGAAAGAAGCAGGAGUGAUUAGAGACAUAGGCAAAUGACAUUCCUCUGCAAAUGUAGUGGGUCCUUUGUCAUAACACUAAAGCACGAGGUACUGAAAGUACCGGGCAGUAACCACCCGGAAUUUGGGAGAAAGAGUUUGCAGGAAACCAGCGGGUUCACAGGCUUCUCUUAAUUGGAGGGAGCGUAUGGAAAUUGACCAACUUUGUAUUUUGUUACAAAAAUGCAAAAAGCAUGCAAGUUAGAAAAAUAUAAAGGCAACUGCUAAACUAAUAGAAUGUAACGUAAGACUUCCAAGUAGGGGAGACUAGAGAUGGCGAGAUAAUGAUUCGUCUAAGAAAAGGCAGAAAAGGAGAAGUCAAAAUUCUAAAACAGUAAGCGGGAAAUACAGGAUAAGGGGGUGGAAAUAUAUCAGGAACCGCAGUACCUGAAACCAUAGAAUUCACUUAGGUUUUGUCUAAAAGACAGAGACUUGAUAUUGAAAAAUCUGCUCUAUGAAAUUUACGAGACACGCUUAAAACGCAAUUAUUAAAUAAAUGUAAGGCUGAGAAUCAUGGGAAGGGGAAUACCAGGAGAAUAUUAACUGAAACAAAAUUAAUACAACUACCUUAAUAUGGCCUGAAAUACAUUCGUAGGGCAAGUUAUGGAUAAACUUGAUCAUAAAUGAGACACUCCAUCAGUGACUGACCACAUUGCAAACUUCCCUGCACCUAAUUUUAUGGUUUUGCAAAAUAUAUGACAAAACGCCACAGAAUUAGGAGUAGAAAUGGAAAAAUCCAUAAUCCGAGCGGGAGUUAGUACAAGUGUCUCUCAGAAGCGGAUAGACGAAGUUGAUAAAAGUAAACUUAUAGAUUAUUAAAAUAAUGCAGUUAUUCUUGACGGUGUACACACACCUAUGCCAGCACCGAAUAGGGCGUGGACGUGUUCACCGAUGAAGAGAAAAUUUAAAAAAAUUAUCUAUAACUGGGCCCGAAAGGGAGUCUCCAUAAACCCAAAGAAUGUCUAUGAUACAGACCACCUUUGCUGGCAACUGUAGAGUGAAAUUAUUUAUAAAGAUGGAAAACCUCCCACGCCCCUUCCAAAACCAUUCAUUUGGAAAUCAAACUUACAGUCAUGAACAAGUCACGGCAGUCAUGCCAUGACCUCGUUUGCAUACAAUUGCCUGUGCGAGCCUCUGUGCCCAAGGACGCAGGAAUGGGGAAUUAGCCAGAGCAGCAGCUGGUCCUUUCAGAGUGGUGAGAGUUAGGUGUUUUAAAAAGUUUCUUCCUUAUUUUUUAUUUACUCAGUGUUUCCAUAGAAUAUGGCUUAUUUAUAGAACUUUCCAUGUGAAAAUAAUUCUAAGUAUUUAUGUUUUAAAAAUAAAGCUGAGUUCCCACUGUGGUGUCGUGGGUUAAGAGGCAGGCAUGGAUUUGACCCCCAGGCCGUCCAGUGAACUAAAGGACCCACGUCACCAUUCCUUUGGCAUCGGUUGCAGCUGUGGCUCAUAUUCAGUCCCUGGCCUGGGAACUUCCAUAUGCUGUGGGUGCGGCUUUAAAAAAAAAAAGUGGAGCGAGUUCCCUUUGUGGCUCAGUGGUUAACAAACCCGACUAGGAUUCAUGGGGAUGCGGGUUUGAUCCCUGGCCUCGCUCAGUGGGUUAAGGAUCCCGUGUUGUCGUGAGCUGUGGUGUAGGUUGCAGAUGUGGCUCGGAACCCGCAUGGCUGUGACUGUGGUAUAGGCUGCCAGCUAUAGCUCUGAUUCCACCCCUAGCCUGGGAACUUCCAUAUGCCGAGGGUGUGGCCUUAAAAAAAGCAAAGAAAAAAAAAAAA